rnacentral:ncRNA from 1 species
CCACGUCCCGUCGCACCACCCCCCCGGCGCCGGGACUUCCCAAGCCGGGUCCGGCACCCUCCCCCCGGGUGCCGGACCCGGUUUUUCC